rnacentral:rRNA from 1 species
AACGAACGCUGGCGGCAUGCCUAACACAUGCAAGUCGAACGAGACCUUCGGGUCUAGUGGCGCACGGGUGCGUAACGCGUGGGAACCUGCCCUUAGGCUCGGAAUACUUCCCCGUCAGGGGUGCUAAUAUCGGAUAAUGUCCUCGGACCAAAGAUUUAUCGUCCUUGGAUGGGCCCGCGUUGGUUUAGCUAGUUGGUAGGGUAAAAGCCUACCAAGGCGUCGAUCCAUAGCUGGUCUGAGAGGAUGAUCAGCCACACUGGGGCUGGGACACGGCCCGGACUCCUACGCGAAGCAGCAGUGGGGGAUAUUGGACUAUGGGCGGGAGCAUGAUCCAGCACUGCUGCGUGAGUGAUGAAGGCCUUAGGGUUGUGAAGCUCUUUAACCCGGGAUGAUAAUGACGGUACCGAGAGAAUAAGCACCGGCUAACUCCGUG